rnacentral:rRNA from 1 species
UACGGCGGGUGCAAGCGUUGUCCGGAUUUAUUGGGCGUAAAGAGCUCGUAGGCGGCUUGUCGCGUCGACUGUGAAAUCCCGCGGCUCAACUGCGGGUCUGCAGUCGAUACGGGCAGGCUAGAGUUCGGUAGGGGAGACUGGAAUUCCUGGUGUAGCGGUGAAAUGCGCAGAUAUCAGGAGGAACACCGAUGGCGAAGGCGGCGACCUGGGUAGAUACUGACGCUGAGGUGCGAAAGCGUGGGGAGCAAACAGG